rnacentral:lncRNA from 1 species
UUCUAAUCCAAACUGGGGUUCUCAAUAAGAUCGCUAAUAGAUCUGAGUGAGGAAUAGAAACCUCUCUUACUGAGUGAUAUGUUUUACAUGUACAUGGCCUCCUAAAGUCUUAUGGAAUCAUAGUGUAGAAGCAGGUGGCCAUGUGCCAGUACUGCUGCUACUACAGCGGCGCGCACCAGGGACGUGGAGAGCUGGAGGAACGAGAUCCGGAAGAUGCUGAUGAACUCCAGGACCGGCUGGAGGACAUCGAGGACCAGCUCCACAAGCUCGAGUCCGACGAGCGCCUGGUGGAGGAGAAGGCAGAGGUCAAAGGCCACUUCUCAAGCAGCUUUUGGCACCUUCAGCCUCAAAGUGGAAUCUACAGACAGGAACCUCGUGUCCAGGAAAGGGGAAAAGGAACUUUGCCAGUGACAGUGACCACAGCAAAAGCAAAUAAUAAUAACAAUAAUAAUAAUAAUAAUAAAUAAAGGGAAUAAAAUAAAAUUUAAUUGGAUAUGAUCCCAUUUGUUUAUUCUUUGUAUUAUUUCUUCUGAAAUUGGGGAUCUGUUCCGAAAGUCUUUGCCUUCAAGAAUUACAAAUGGCCAGUAAGUACAUGAAAACAUUUCAACAUCUCUGGCCAUCAGAGAAAUACAAACUAAAACAGCACUGAGAUUCCAUCUUAUUACAGAAGGAAUGCUAUCAUCAAGAAAUCAAAUAGUAACAAAUGCUGGCAAAGCUGCUAGGGGG